GAUUGAACGCUGGCGGCAGGCCUAACACAUGCAAGUCGAACGGUAACAGGAAGCAGCUUGCUGCUUUGCUGACGAGUGGCGGACGGGUGAGUAAUGUCUGGGAAACUGCCUGAUGGAGGGGGAUAACUACUGGAAACGGUAGCUAAUACCGCAUAACGUCGCAAGACCAAAGAGGGGGACCUUCGGGCCUCUUGCCAUCGGAUGUGCCCAGAUGGGAUUAGCUAGUAGGUGGGGUAACGGCUCACCUAGGCGACGAUCCCUAGCUGGUCUGAGAGGAUGACCAGCCACACUGGAACUGAGACACGGUCCAGACUCCUACGGGAGGCAGCAGUGGGGAAUAUUGCACAAUGGGCGCAAGCCUGAUGCAGCCAUGCCGCGUGUAUGAAGAAGGCCUUCGGGUUGUAAAGUACUUUCAGCGGGGAGGAAGGGAGUAAAGUUAAUACCUUUGCUCAUUGACGUUACCCGCAGAAGAAGCACCGGCUAACUCCGUG
rnacentral:rRNA from 1 species